rnacentral:rRNA from 1 species
CUACGGGUCGCUGCAGUGGGGAAUCUUAGACAAUGGGGGAAACCCUGAUCUAGCCAUGCCGCGUGAUCGAUGAAGGCCUUAGGGUUGUAAAGAUCUUUCAGAUGGGAAGAUAAUGACGGUACCAUCAGAAGAAGCCCCGGCUAACUCCGUGCCAGCAGCCGCGGUAAUACGGAGGGGGCUAGCGUUAUUCGGAAUUACUGGGCGUAAAGCGCACGUAGGCGGACUGAAAAGUCAGAGGUGAAAUCCCAGGGCUCAACCUUGGAACUGCCUUUGAAACUCUCAGUCUUGAGGUCGUGAGAGGUGAGUGGAAUUCCGAGUGUAGAGGUGAAAUUCGUAGAUAUUCGGAGGAACACCAGUGGCGAAGGCGGCUCACUGGCACGAUACUGACGCUGAGGUGCGAAAGCGUGGGGAGCAAACAGGAUUAGAUACCCGAGUAGUC